CGGGAAACUGAGCGCAAUAGCGGAUAUAACUCUCAGGCGUGAGUGCCGAGAGUUAGAAACGUUCCGGCGCUGUAGGAUGUGGCUGCGGCCGAUUAGGUAGAUGGUGGGGUAACGGCCCACCAUGCCGAUAAUCGGUACAGGUUGUGAGAGCAAGAGCCUGGAGACGGUAUCUGAGACAAGAUACCGGGCCCUACGGGGCGCAGCAGGCGCGAAACCUUUACACUGCACGACAGUGCGAUAGGGGGACUCCGAGUGUGAGGGCAUAUAGCCCUCGCUUUUCUGNACCGUAAGGUGGUACAGGAACAAGGACUGGGCAAGACCGGUGCCAGCCGCCGCGGUAAUACCGGCAGUCCAAGUGAUGGCCGAUAUUAUUGGGCCUAAAGCGUCCGUAGCUUGCUGUGUAAGUCCAUUGGGAAAUCGACCAGCUCAACUGGUCGGCGUCCGGUGGAAACUACACAGCUUGGGGCCGAGAGACUCAACGGGUACGUCCGGGGUAGGAGUGAAAUCCUGUAAUCCUGGACGGACCACCAAUGGGGAAACCACGUUGAGAGACCGGACCCGACAGUGAGGGACGAAAGCCAGGGUCUCGAACCGGGAUUAGAUACCCGGGUAGUCCUGGCUGUAAACAAUGCUCGCUAGGUUUGUCACGCGCCAUGAGCACGUGAUGUGCCGUANUGAAGACGAUAAGCGAGCCGCCUGGGAAGUACGUCCCCCAGGAUGAAACUUAAAGGAAUUGGCGGGGGANCCCCACCAACCGGAAGNACCCUGCGGUUUUAUUUG
rnacentral:rRNA from 1 species